rnacentral:rRNA from 1 species
UACGAAGGGGGCUAGCGUUGUCCGGAAUUACUGGGCGUAAAGCGUAUGCAGGCGGAUCGUUAAGUCGGGGGUGAAAUCCCGAGGCUCAACCUCGGAACUGCCUUCGAUACUGGCGACCUUCGAGUCCGGGAGAGGUGAGUGGAACUCCGAGUGUAGAGGUGAAAUUCGUAGAUAUUCGGAAGAACACCAGUGGCGAAGGCGGCUCACUGGCCCGGUACUGACGCUGAGAUACGAAAGCGUGGGGAGCAAACAGG